CACAAAAGACUUGCAAAACAAAAAAAUGGAAACUUUUAGAUCAAUGUAUUACUUUAAGUCUUUUAUAGUGCUCUAAUAUUAUUAUUAAUACAACCAAGAUUCAAUAAUAACAAUAACAACUUCAACAACGAUUUGUCACGGAUACAGAAAUACAGACUCGAGAUCUAACAAGAAGUUCAAGAAGAACUGGCAAGAACUAGAUUAAUCAAAUGAAUACA
rnacentral:lncRNA from 1 species